CCUACGGGAGGCAGCAGUGGGGGAUAUUGCUCAAUGGGGGAAACUCUGAUGCAGCGACGCCGCGUGUGGGAUGACGGUCCUCUGGAUUGUAAACCACUGUCCCCAGGGACGAAGAUGACGGUACCUGGGGAGGAAGCUUCGGCUAACUACGUGCCAGCAGCCGCGGUAAUACGUAGGGAGCGAGCGUUGUCCGGAAUUACUGGGUGUAAGGGGAGCGUUGGCGGGGAUGCAAGUUGGUGGUAAAAACUACCGGCUCAACUGGUAGUCGGACUCAAAACUGUAGCUCUUGAGUGAAGUAGAGGCAGGCGGAAUUCCUAGUGUAGCGGUGAAAUGCGUAGAUAUUAGGAGGAACACCAGUGGCGAAGGCAGCCUGCUGGGCUUUUACUGACGCUGAGGCUCGAAAGUGUGGGGAGCAAACAGGAUUAGAUACCCCUGUAGUC
rnacentral:rRNA from 1 species